CCUUAGGAGUUUGGAACUUGGGUCAGAUUGAGUAGAGGCGGCCACCCGUUUCACAUGCACGUCGAACGGCAGCAUGAUCUCGCUCGUUAGUUUGAUGGCGAGUGGCGAACGGGUGAGUAAUGCAUCGGAACGUGCCUCGUAGUGGGGGAUAACUAGUCGAUAGAGUAGCUAAUACCGCAUACGACUUGAGGGUGAAAGCGGGGGAUCGCAAGGCCUCAUGCUAUAGGAGCGGCCGAUGUCUGAUUAGCUAGUUGGUGAGGUAAUGGCUCACCAAGGCGACGAUCAGUAGCUGGUGUGAGAGGACGAUCAGCCACACUGGGAGUGAGACACGGCCCAGACUCCUACGGGAGGCAGCAGUGGGGAAUUUUGGACAAUGGGGGAAAGCCUGAUCCAGCAAUCCCGCGUGUGUGAAGAAGGCCUUCGGGUUGUAAAGCACUUUUGUCCGGAAAGAAACGUCUUUGGUUAAUACCCGGGGUAGAUGACGGUACCGGCAGAAUAAGCACCGGCUAACUACGUGCCAGCAGCCGCGGUAAUACGUAGGGUGCAAGCGUUAAUCGGAAUUACUGGGCGUAAAGCGUGCGCAGGCGGUUGUGCAAGACCGAUGUGAAAUCCCCGAGCUUAACUUGGGAAUUGCAUUGGUGACUGCCCGGCUAGAGUGUGUCAGAGGGGGGUAGAAUUCCACGUGUAGCAGUGAAAUGCGUAGAUAUGUGGAGGAAUCACCGAUGGCGAAGGCAGCACUCUCUGGGAUAACACUGACGCUGAUGAGCGUUGG
rnacentral:rRNA from 1 species